GGCCAAACUCUCAGGCUCUCAAGCGUACCUUUCAGUUUCGUUGAACGGAGCAGAGCACAACGGAGCGACCGAACGGGGAGCGGGGGCCGGUGAAGGCGAUCAAAGUUCGAGCUGCUGCCUUGGUCGCGCGCGCCUCUAGAGCAUGGUAGACGCGCCGCGGACGGGGGUGGCACGCGCUCCGGCUUGUCGCCAAGCCAAGGUCGGUGGGCGGGAGGAUUUCCCUCGAUUUGGAAGCAUGGACCCAGGACUUUGUCCAGUGUGAUGUGCUAUUUCCUCGUGAUUUUGCCUUCUGUUGAUGUUUGAAGUGAUUACCCAAGUGGGUGAGAACCAAGAUGGGGAUAUAGUGAAAUGUUGGCUGUCAUCGCUGAUGGAGACAGGUACCAGGAACAGUUAGAUGGGCAAAGGGUUACUCUUGAGAUCACUGAUUACAGUGGUAAGUCGCUGCAAAUGAUUUCAGCAGGGAGGUCCAGCUAGCAAGAGGAAGGAAGUCUUCUCGGGAAAUCGGGUUGGAUCAGGCUUAUCAAGGUGCAUCCGAUACCUCUCUUUGGGUUUGCAAUAACACGAUCAAAGGAUGAUGCUUUCUGACAUAUUGCUCCUAUUUUGUCACUUUAUCCACGGGAAAGCAAUGCUCCCUAUCAACUCAAGAGCCACCAAACUAUGGCAAGAGAAAUUUCCAACAUGGAGGGGCUCCUGUGGGGUCUGGUAAAUAAGUUUGCUUGGUUUCAGUCUGUUUAUGGCUAGACAUACCGAUGUCAUAGUCGAUAUGUCACAUGAGGACUGCUGCUGUUUGAUCUGAAUCAAGUCCCAAGUCCAGCUUGUGGCCCUGGGAAAAGCUGGUUCCAUUUUUUUUACCUGACCAUGCGCAUGAAUUUUGUCGGUAAAAAAUAUCCUUGUCAUUACUUGAUAGUUUCUCUUUGUUAAUGCGAGAAAAGAAAAAGGAAAAAACAAUUGAGUGUGCAUAUUUGCCAUGAGGCUGGAAUCCAUGUUUUUGUUUUUGCAUAAA